ACAGCCACAUCGCGUUGAAACACCGAUUCCUGUAUGACCAACGAAGUUAAGCAACGUCGAGCCUGGUCAGUACCUAGAUGAGUGACCACUUGGGAAUACAAAGUGCUGUAAG